UACGUAGGGAGCAAGCGUUGUCCGGAAUUAUUGGGCGUAAAGCGCGUGUAGGCGGCUUUGCAAGUCGGGUGUGAAAGCCCUCAGCUCAACUGAGGAAGUGCGCCCGAAACUGCAGAGCUUGAGUGCCGGAGAGGGUGGCGGAAUUCCCCAAGUAGAGGUGAAAUUCGUAGAUAUGGGGAGGAACACCGGUGGCGAAGGCGGCCACCUGGACGGUAACUGACGCUGAGACGCGAAAGCGUGGGGAGCAAACAGG
rnacentral:rRNA from 1 species